rnacentral:rRNA from 1 species
AGUGAACGCUGGCGGUAGGCCUAACACAUGCAAGUCGAACGGCACCACAGUAAGAGCUUGCUCUUACGGGUGGCGAGUGGCGGACGGGUGAGGAAUACAUCGGAAUCUACUUUUUCGUGGGGGGUAACGUAGGGAAACUUACGCUAAUACCGCAUACGACCUACGGGUGAAAGCAGGGGAUCUUCGGACCUUGCGCGAUUGAAUGAGCCGAUGUCGGAUUAGCUAGUUGGCGGGGUAAAGGCCCACCAAGGCGACGAUCCGUAGCUGGUCUGAGAGGAUGAUCAGCCACACUGGAACUGAGACACGGUCCAGACUCCUACGGGAGGCAGCAGUGGGGAAUAUUGGACAAUGGGCGCAAGCCUGAUCCAGCCAUACCGCGUGGGUGAAGAAGGCCUUCGGGUUGUAAAGCCCUUUUGUUGGGAAAGAAAAGCAGCAGGUUAAUACCCCGCUGUUCUGACGGUACCCAAAGAAUAAGCACCGGCUAACUUCGUG